UACGUAGGGGGCUAGCGUUGUCCGGAAUCACUGGGCGUAAAGGGUUCGCAGGCGGAAUAACAAGUCAGAUGUGAAAGGCAUGGGCUCAACCCAUGUAAGCAUUUGAAACUGUAAUUCUUGAGAAGUGGAGAGGUAAGUGGAAUUCCUAGUGUAGCGGUGAAAUGCGUAGAUAUUAGGAGGAAUACCUGUGGCGAAGGCGACUUACUGGACACAAAUCUGACGCUGAGGAACGAAAGCGUGGGGAGCAAACAGG
rnacentral:rRNA from 1 species